CACCUAUAGGCCUACUACUGGCCAAUCAGAUAGCUCAGAUCACUGUGUCUGCAGUUUCCUCGAGUGCACAGCAAAGUUGCUACUGUGAAAUUUCCGAACUUUCAAAACCGUUACUAGAGAGAAAUUGUCAAUGAAAUACAAUGAAGGGCUGCUGUUUGUAUGAACGCUGAUGUCAAAGCCUGUCAGAGGGAAACAAAAGACUGCUCCUAAACUCCAGUUGAACCCUUAAGAAUGGAUGAAGCUGGAAGUGGAUCCAUCCAACCUGAGAGGAGGUGACACCACUGUGUUUAGUGAGAUGGAGAUGGGUGUGUCAGACAGCUCCUUCGUACAAAGGGAACAUCCAUAUUUGGCAAUAAAAGCCAUUAGUUCAGGUGUAGAACUACAGUGUCUGUUUCCUAUGUUCUGGAACAUGCGACAUACAAUAUUACUCUUACCUAAUUAAAGGGCUGACAUAAUGCAUAUUUUGAUGCACAUUUCAUCGACUACAACUAUUGUUCAAUGUGUUUGUUUUCAUGUGAAUAUGGCUGUUUGAUCACAGGGAACAAAAUCACCAUGAAAUAUGUGGCCUGUUUUUAUGUACAUAUGCAUCAAAAUAAAUAGUUGUACAGCAUGUAUUGUAAAUCAAAUACAUGCAUCGUUAACUACUGUGCUGCAUUGCAUUGCAUAUUU